CUUUCGUUCCGGCGGCUCCUAGAGCGUUUGCUUUGUUCCCGAUAUGUCUCGUCCCUCCGGGGUUAACUUGCAGAUGGUUGACCUGACCAAGCAGGACAGCAUGGAGGUUGGAGGGAGAGAAGGGCAUCGAGGGAGAUGAGAACUCACCUACCAUCUGAAAGUCUUAAGGCCCGAGAGAGCCGAGGAUGCAGGUGUUGGUCUGAUCUUGAUUUCAGGUACUUUUGGAAUACAGAAUACCAGAUGUGUUCCUGCUGCCCAGCCCCACAAGGCUAUGCAGAAUGCAAAGAAGAGUUACUUUUUGGCUGGGGAGUAGUGGUAUCAUGUGCACUAUUGCUGGAAAUAAUAAAUAUUGGCCUAUCUGUAGAAAUAAAAAUCUGACUAAUGAUAUUUA
rnacentral:lncRNA from 1 species